UACAGAGGGGGCAAGCGUUAUUCGGAAUUAUUGGGCGUAAAGGGCGCGUAGGCGGCCUGACAAGUGGAUGGUGAAAUCCCUCGGCUUAACCGAGGAACUGCCUUCCAAACUGCUUGGCUUGAGUCCGGGAGAGGUGAGUGGAAUUCCCAGUGUAGCGGUGAAAUGCGUAGAUAUUGGGAGGAACACCAGUGGCGAAGGCGGCUCACUGGACCGGAACUGACGCUGAUGCGCGAAAGCGUGGGGAGCAAACGGG
rnacentral:rRNA from 1 species